rnacentral:rRNA from 1 species
GGCUUAAUUUGACUCAACGCGGGGAAUCUUACCGGGUCCGGACACACUGAGGAUUGACAGACAGUUGUCUUUCCCUCCCUUCGGGGUGGGAUUACAAAAGAUAACAGAUCUUUCAUGAUCAUGUGAUGGGUGGUGCAUGGCCGUUCUUAGUUCGUGGAGUGAUCUGUCUGCUUAAUUGCGUUUCAAAUUUUAUAUUUGUUAACAUGCGAGUCUUCAAUGACGGCCACUCCACCUUAUAGACAUUAUAUGAUAUGCACAUUUGUGUAUUUGAUUAUAACUUGUCUGGAGUCUGGCUCGAUUUUUUUGACUCAAUUGAACGCAACGGACGUGAUUGCAAGUCCUUGUUGAACAAAUUAUAUAUAUACUACUUCAUCAUUAGUAUAUAUAGUUCGCUUCUCAUGUCGUAGCAGUCAAACGGGCGGGCGUCUUAAUUGGCGCGGUCACGAGGCUUAAUAUGCUGCGGCUGGGGAAAACUUGGGCGACCGCUGUAAUACUUCUCUCUUAAACCAGAGGAAGAUUGCGGCAAUAACAGGU